GACAGAGGGUGCAAACGUUGCUCGGAAUUACUGGGCGUAAAGCGCGUGUAGGUGGAUUGGUGUGUCAGAUGUGAAAGCCCUGGGCUCAACCCAGGAACUGCACCUGAAACUACCAGUCUUGAGUGGUGGAGAGGGAAGUGGAAUUCCUGGUGUAGAGGUGAAAUUCGUAGAUAUCAGGAGGAACACCAGUGGCGAAGGCGGCUUCCUGGACACUAACUGACGCUGAGGGGCGAAAGCGUGGGGAGCAAACCGG
rnacentral:rRNA from 1 species